UCCUAACCCUAUCUUAUCUUAUCUUUCUGCUUCCACUUGCUACGCGCCACCACCGGCCGCCCCUUCGCGCAGCCAUGGACAACGCCCCAUCCACGCCGCCACCCUUGCUUCCUCCCUAUCCACGGCAUGCGGUCCAACUGUGUCGGUGCCCUAGCCCUAUGGGGCGCACCUCCACCUGCAGCAGCUCCACCUACCGGCGGCCCGGCGCCCAGAUCCAGAUGAGAGGACGUCGACGCUGCGUAUUCGUAGGCGAGGCACAGGCGGAGGGAGAGGUAGUGGUUCGCUUCCCGUCCCGACCCUGCACUGCCACAGCUCGGGUACGUCUCAUCCCACCAUCGCCCCCCACCCUAGAGGCGAGUUCUGCAGGCCUACAACCGUGCUGCAACCCUGGCCGGGGCUGAGCUUGUCCGUCCAAGCCAUGCUUUCGCCUCCAGGUCUGCACAUCUUGAGCUCCUCUAGAACGCCAGUGCUCCCAUCUGAAGUGCUAGCUGCUGAUUGGGAGGAGAGCAGCUUGGAUUUUUCAGAAGCAGAUCUAGUGCUUAGCUUGUGACUGGGACGGUAGGCCAAAGUGGCGUAGGAUGGAUUUCACAAGGUAAUGCUUGUAUUAUCUCCACAAGCAAAUUCAGAGCUGUGGGCACCUUGCAAACUCAUCCUUUUGCUGCUUCAUUUCAAGUUUAGACCAACUUCUGUAGAGAACUUUUAGCACAGUUAACUAGAAGUCAUAUUGAGGUGUCAUUCAUUUGGAGUUCUCAUUUAGACUUUUGUGUAGUAUUCAUUUUUUCAUUCUAAUGCCACUCUUUUGUGCAGUAUUCUUUUUUUUUAUUCUAAUGCCAUUGUGCAGUAUUUUUUUAUUCUAAUGCCAAUAACUUGAUGGAUGGAUCUGAACUGUAUGUAUAAAUCAUACAGCUGAGGUUGUAAUUAAGAAUGAGGUCUGCUGCUGUAUAUUAUUUUUUUUACAUUCUGUAGUUGGUUUCCUGACGGCAUAACCGUCAGGAUUUGGCCAAUAUUUUAGUCCAGGGCUAUUCUUAGGUUGGCCGUCAAGAACUGCCGUCAGGAAAAAAUUCCUGACGGUCAACCGCCAAGAAAAAGUGAUCUUUCCUGUCGAGUCGUUCCUGUCGGUUCAUUCCUGACGGCUGGCCGACAGGAAUAUGUUUUCCGACGGUUUUACUGCUUUUCCUGACGGUUUCUAGCCGACAGGAAUUUCCGCUGCUCUGGUAGUGGAAAACCGUCUGUGUUAAUGCUCUAUUUGCACAGGCGGUUCAAUUAUGUGAACCGCCUGUGUUAAUAGAUUUAUACAGGCAGUUCACAUAACUGAACCGAUUGUGCAAAUGGAGUAUUAACACAGGCGGUUUUCUUAUGUGAACCGUUUGUAUUAAUCGAUCUACACAGACAGUUCCUUAAGCAAACCGCCUAUGCUAUUCUUUCUAUAAAUAACCCACAACCCCCUUCUUCCUCCUCGGACAAAACUGUAGCUCGCAGCCACCUUCCAUUGGAGCACAUCUUGGAGGUCCAGUUUUUCCAAAAUACAAGGGGGAGGUUUUGAUCUUCAUUUAUUGGAAGGAGGUGGCUAAGAAAGUGUCACAAGCAACCACUCGGAUUGGUCCACUGUGGAUUCUACGUCUGUGAGUUCAUGAGAGAGGGCGGAAGAUAUAUUACUAACCCUUAUAAGCAAAAAGACUUUGAAAAGGCGAAGAGCAUGAGUGAAGCCACUUUAUACAACAUAGUUGAGGACCUCUGUAAAUUCAUGUUGAGAGAAGUCAUUCCCAGCGAAGGGAAAUAUCAUGAUCGGACCAGCACCCUAGCAAAGCCUGAAUACGGAGCACUAAGGGUGAUUAGUAGGCUAAAGCUAACUCGAUCCGGUUAUUAGAGCAGAGGUUUUUCAGAGGUGAAACCUCUGAUGCAUGUAACAGAAAAAACUUGAUGUGUGAUCAUGUUUGUAAUUAAUGUAGUAUAUAUAUAAAUGAAUUGCAUGUUGCAAUGGUUGACAUGA